rnacentral:rRNA from 1 species
GACGAACGCUGGCGGCGUGCUUAACACAUGCAAGUCGAACGGAAAGGCCCUGCUUUUGUGGGGUGCUCGAGUGGCGAACGGGUGAGUAACACGUGAGUAACCUGCCCUUGACUUUGGGAUAACUUCAGGAAACUGGGGCUAAUACCGGAUAGGAGCUCCUGCUGCAUGGUGGGGGUUGGAAAGUUUCGGCGGUUGGGGAUGGACUCGCGGCUUAUCAGCUUGUUGGUGGCGUAGUGGCUUACCAAGGCUUUGACGGGUAGCCGGCCUGAGAGGGUGACCGGCCACAUUGGGACUGAGAUACGGCCCAGACUCCUACGGGAGGCAGCAGUGGGGAAUAUUGCACAAUGGGCGGAAGCCUGAUGCAGCAACGCCGCGUGCGGGAUGACGGCCUUCGGGUUGUAAACCGCUUUCGCCUGUGACGAAGCGUGAGUGACGGUAAUGGGUAAAGAAGCACCGGCUAACUACGUGC